AAAGCAAGACAAUGUAUUUUGAAAUGAACCGGGCAGGGGAGACACCUUGCUCUUUGCCACGACCACAGAACUGGGAGUUCUUUCCAGAUGAGGUGAACCUUUCCAUCCCUUGGAAACGGGGAAAGCCUCUCCAGCUGUCCAGCCACCGCCUCGUUCCUUCUGCCCUGCCAACCCCGGGGAGCAUCUCAUCCACGUCCUCGGCCACGUGAUGGGGUGCCCAGGAGACAGCAGUGGAUAAGACAAAGUUCCUGCCCUCGUGGAAUUGCUAUUUGAGGUACGAGCAGGGGAGACAUACACAACACGGAUGAAUAUACAAUUUAUUUGUGGUCUUCCGACCCAGUGCUGCCUGAUAGAACUUUCUACAGUGAGAGUGAUCAUCCUCAGAAGACAGUGGCUCACAGUCCACCUGCUGUCCGGAUGGCAGCAAAAGGAAGUUGAGUGCCGAGUUUCAUUCAUGCC